GGGGAGAUGGCUCAGCAUGAACAGCACUGGCUGUGCCAGCUUAAGGAACCAGGUCUGGAUUUCCAUAACUAAUGGCAAAGCUGGAUGUAGGCAGCAUGAGGCCCUAAAAUCUCAGCACAGCUAGACUAAGGGAGCAGGCAGAGACGGGAGAAUUCCCUGAAGUUCCGGCUCUGGCCUACACAGAGGGGAACAACAGAUCUCAUCUCAAACAAGAUGUGGAGCUACCUCUCCAGCCUUCUGUCUGCCUGCAGGUGUCUAUGCGUCCCACCAUGAUGACACUGUACUAAACCUCUGAAACGAUCAACCGACUUGGGACUUUAAUCGCAUCUGUGAAAUUCUAUCACAACACCAGCUAGAUGGGUAUGUAUAGAACAAGCAGAAAAUGAGCAUCUUAUUUUUCUAUCCUAGAGUAUUGUUGUUGUCUUAAAUCAGGUGCAGCACUUAUUCAGAAGAUGUAAUAACACAGACAAGUCCUGAUUAUGCUAGUCAGGAAUCAGAACAUGCCAAGAGAAAAGCUAUUUGGAAUAGGGAGGCAACUGAGUCAGUGGGGUUUGGAUAACACUCACAUAAAGCCCCUGUAAUGUUGGGAUACCCAACCCUAGCACUGAGUAAGUAGAGACAGAGGGACCCUGAACUCAUUGGCUAGCCAAUUUUGCUGAAUGGAUGAGCCUCAGGCUCAGUGAGAGACCAUGUUUCAGAAAAUAAAGUGGAUAGCAAUUGAGGAAGAUAUUUGACAUUCACCUUUGAACUCCACAUGCACACACAUGUAUACCACAUGUGCACACACAUUCACUUACAUACACCACACACAGAGAGUUUAAGGAGAAAG
rnacentral:lncRNA from 1 species